rnacentral:rRNA from 1 species
UACGUAGGGACCAAGCGUUGUUCGGAUUUACUGGGCGUAAAGGGCGCGUAGGCGGCGCGGUAAGUCACUUGUGAAAUCUCUGAGCUUAACUCAGAACGGCCAAGUGAUACUGCAGUGCUAGAGUGUGGAAGGGGCAAUCGGAAUUCUUGGUGUAGCGGUGAAAUGCGUAGAUAUCAAGAGGAACACCUGAGGUGAAGACGGGUUGCUGGGCUGAUACUGACGCUGAGGCGCGAAAGCGUGGGGAGCAAACAGG